rnacentral:rRNA from 1 species
GACAUAGGUGGCGAACGUUAUCCGGAUUUAUUGGGCGUAAAGGAUGCGUAGGUGGCAGGAUAAAUUAUCAGUGAAAGUCAGGCUCAACUUGACGGAAGUUGGUAAAAUUGUUCUGCUAGAGGAUAGGAGAGGUCGGCGGAAUUCACAUGAGUAAGGGUGAAAUCUGUUGAUCCAUGGAGGACCACCAGUGGCGAAGGCGACUCACUGGCCCGAUACUGACGCUGAGGCGCGAAAGCGUGGGGAGCAAACAGG